rnacentral:misc_RNA from 1 species
AACGCACAUUGCGCCCCUUGGUAUUCCGAGGGGCAUGCCUAUUCGAGCGUCAUUAUCACCCCUCAAGCCUAGCUUGGUGUUGAGACCUGCUGUCAGGGCAGUCUCUAAAAUCAGUGGCAGUGCUGUCAGGCUCUAAGCGUAGUAAAUUCGUCGCUAUAGGGUCCUGGUGGACACUCGCCAAAACCCCCCCAUUUUUUAAUGAUUGACCUCGGAUUAGGUAGGGAUACCCGCUGAACUUAA